GGGGGCCGACGCUCCACGUAAGUUAACUAUCCUCAGAUUGUCCAGUCCAGCAACUCCAUUCCACUAUUUCCUUUGAACUUCCAUAUUGCUGUAAUCGUGGAAUCUGAGCAAUCGUGUUCGGUACUUCGUGCAUAUGUUUGCUUCCAAGGUUGUCAGUAGUAUCCUAUUUCACCACUGAUGCUGGAAGUGUCUGCUAGUCUGUAUGAACACCUCCCUGGUUUAGUCUGUUAAUCUGUUUCGUAUGAACAACAACUAGGAUCGAUGUUGCCUUUGAGUCAAAGCCUACUUGUGCUCCGGUCUCCCACCUCCCUGGUUUAAAAGGAUGUUCCCUAGCCAUUAAUUAAAAACAAAAAAUUUCAAGCUAAUGGGUUACUUGAAUGCUGCGGAAGUGCGGAUGGCACCCAUGAAGGCUAAGAACGGUUAGAGGAUUUGAAUGUUGGGUGUCCUGAUGGUCUGCAGAGUUAUCCCCAAGACCCCAACAUGGAAGUAUCUGCAACUUGUGUGUUACUUUAUUUGGAUAUCAUGAACGUAGCAGGAUGGCUCUACAUGUACCGAGGCCACAGAUGGAGAUCAUCUUAUGCAUGUGUGAGAUUAAAAGACUGAAAAAGAACUGUGAAGAAGUGCUUCUUUGCAUGCCCAUCCUUAAUGAGAUCGCUUUUGCAAUCUUCCGAAAGGACUUGGCUUAUGUGGAAGCAGAGUACAAUACACUGAAGAUGCAUGGGGAAUUACAAGUUGAAGGAGAAUUAUAUUUUCUGCUGAACCAUGUAUCAUGUAUGUCGGUUUCAUUCGAUGGAAUACUAUGCUAUAUUCUAUAUAUUGUUGUAGUAUAUAUGACUCAUGUUGUAGUAUGUAUGAGUCAUAGUAUAAAUGUCUAUAUCAUGUAAUAAGUACUUGAGUGUAUAGAUAGGUACUUGAGUGUAUAAACAUAGGUACUUGAGUGUAUGAAGACUUGUGUGACAUGCUUUAUACCAAGAGGCAACAAGCAUGGCAGAUUUCAUCAUUGAAUGCAAGUAUGUGGAGCUGCAGCCCUCAAUCAACAAGAGAAGAUUGUUACCAAAUUGAGUUUCUCUUAGAGCUUUCACACUAGCUAUGUAUUCCUAUAAAUACAUUCCUUUGUGAGAAGAAUAAUACACAUGAAUUCUCAUUCUCUCUGAAUCGAAACUCUCUCUCUCUCUCUGUCAAUUUUGAUUAUCCUUAAACACGUUAUCAGCACGAAGUUGCUCUAGAAUUAGAAUCGAAAAUUGACAAGAGUAGAGUUCAUCAUCAAUCGAAGUCAUUUUUCCAAACCUACAAAAAACCUCCAAAACCUAGCUCAUAUCAAAGCCAUUGAUCCCAGAAGCCCAGAACCGGCCUCAGAAUCGCCGGAACCGGCCGGAAAAGGCCUGAACCGGCCGCCGGAAUUUUUGAACAGAACCAGACCGCUGCCAAGUGCUGCCGAGCAGCUGCGCAGCAGCUGCCGAGACCCUGCGCAGCAGCUGCCGAGAAGCUGCGCAGCAGCUGCCGAGCGACCUGCGCAGCAGCUGCCGAGACCCUGCUCAGCAGCUGCCGAGAAGCUGCGCAGCAGCUGCCGAGCGACCUGCGCAGCAGCUGCCGAGUCACCUGCCAAACACUUUUAAGUGAUUUUCCUGUGCAGAUCAGCCUGUUUGCACGCCCCGAAACAUCUUGAUAGGGACCUCAGAUCAAAAUCCUUCCUUCAUCAAAGUUGUUCGUCUAUGUCUCUUCUAUCUGACCUCCAAAUUGUAGCCCUGUUGGAGUAGUUUUGAGACCUGUACACCAUUCGAAGUGGGAGCUGUUCAGCACGCUCGUUCCUGUGCAGAUCAGCCUGUUUGCACACCCUGAAACAUCUUGUUCAGCACCUUUAAUCAAAAUACUUUCUUCAUCACAGUUCUUCAUAUAUGUCUUUUCUAUCUGACUUCAAAAUUUCAGCCCUGUUGAAGUCGUUUUAAGACAUGUACACCAUUCAAAGUGGGAGCUAUUCAGUAUGAUCGUUCCUGUGCAGAUCAACCUGCUUGCACGCCGAUAAACGUCCUUUUCGGGACAUCUAAUCAAAAUCAUUUCUUCAUCAAAGUUGUUAAUCUCUGUCUCUUAUAUCUUAUCUCCAAAUUUCAGCCCUGUUGGAGCAGUUUUGAGACCUGUAUAACAUUUGAAGUGCGAUCUGUUCAGAAGCAAAUUUGCUCCGAAUUUCAACAAGAUGUCGAAUGAACCUAGACUCAAUUUUCCAAUGCUUGACUCAACAGGCUCGGAAUACCAUGGCUGGGUAACCAACGUUGAGAACCAUCUCACUACGAGAGGGAUAUUGCCCAUAAUACAGGCACCUAACCAGGGCCUUGUGUUCCAACGAACACCCACAAAGCAUGCUGCUCAAGUAAUUAUCUUGAUGUGAUACCAUAUGGAUCAAUUGAAGCAUUGGUUCAAGCAAUGCCAUGCAAGUACCCAACUAGCUGCAAGCUACAAGGAGUAUAGGCAAUUGAGAGAGCAAGAAAUCAAUCUUGCUGAAGAUGAAGAUGGUGAAGAUAUCACUCUCACCACUGAGGACUUCAAAGUUGUAAAGAGCACGAGGAUGCCGCAGACUUUGAUUAGAAUAGUCCUUUUCUAUUUUCCAAUAAAACGGCAAAUGUGCCUUAGUCAACAAAUGACAAUUGUAUUGACUCUUUCUCAUGUGGCGUACCCAAUGAAGUAUGAUGUCUAGGAAAGUAAUUGAGAUCGGGGUAUUUAAGCGAGCCUCGCUCCACCAACAUCUCUCUACUUCCCUGGUCAUAUUUCAUUGGAAUUACCAAACGGAUUGGCAAUUACAAUUUGUAUAAGUUUGAUUUUAUUUUGGAAUAGAUUUUGGAAACUUUGAUGUAAUCAUUGGCUAUUAAUAAAGUGUCGCAUUAUUAUUCA